CAGAGAGCCACAAAGUCAUAUUUUGAACAUCUGCACAAUGUGGUGUCUGGGUAAAUCCCUGAUGGCACAUGCCUGAUGUGUCAUGCCCACAAAUGUCAGAUAUUUGCCGUUUACAAGACAGAUUUAAAUGUGAGUUUUUGCUACAGGCACCGAGUCAGUCAAGUUUCUCCAGGACUAACAGCUGGUGUAUAUAAGCUCUUCAUCCAGUCUGCGUGAGUAAAAGUUAUUGAUGUAGAGAAGAAACAAAGAAGAAGCAAGCAGAGCAUAAGAGAGAAGCAGAGCAAUAGCAAAGCAAAGAACAAGUAAGGUACAUGCUUCUAAAAUAUUCACUCUAUUUUCUGCACU